GUGGCGUUGGUGACCCUUGGGUGGCGUUGGUGACCCACGGGUGGCACUGGGUGGCAUUGGGUGACCCAUGGGUGGCAUUGGGUGCCAUUGGGUGGCAUUGGUGACCCACAGGUGGCACUGGGUGCCAUUGGGUGCCAUUGGGUGACAUUGGUGACCCAUGGGUGGCACUGGGUGCCCUUGGGUGGCAUUGGGUGACCCACGGGUGGCACUGGGUGCCAUUGGGAGGCGUUGGUGAGCCACGGGUGCCAUUGGGUGGCAUUGGUGACCCACAGGUUGCACUGGGUGCCAUUGGGUGGCAUU
rnacentral:lncRNA from 1 species